AGAGUUUGAUUAUGGCUCAGGAUGAACGCUGGCGGCGUGCUUAACACAUGCAAGUCGAACGGACCUUCGGGUCAGUGGCGGACGGGUGAGUAACGCGUGGGAACCUGCCCUCAGGAGGGGGAUAACGGCUGGAAACAACCGCUAAUACCCCAUAUGCCGAGAGGUGAAAUGAGAUUCGCCUGAGGAUGGGCCCGCGUCUGAUUAGCUAGUUGGUGGGGUAAAGGCCUACCAAGGCGACGAUCAGUAGCUGGUCUGAGAGGAUGAUCAGCCACACUGGGACUGAGACACGGCCCAGACUCCUACGGGAGGCAGCAGUGGGGAAUUUUCCGCAAUGGGCGAAAGCCUGAACCGGAGCAACGCCGCGUGAGGGAUGAAGGCCUCUGGGCUGUAAACCUCUUUUCUCAAGGAAGAAGAACUGACGGUACUUGAGGAAUAAGCCACGGCUAAUUCCGUGCCAGCCGCUGC
rnacentral:rRNA from 1 species